rnacentral:rRNA from 1 species
UACGGGGGGAGCAAGCGUUGUUCGGAUUUACUGGGCGUAAAGGGCGCGUAGGCGGCCACGACAAGUCAGUUGUGAAAUCUCUGGGCUUAACUCAGAGCGGUCAACUAAUACUGUCGGGCUAGAGUGCAGAAGGGGCAACUGGAAUUCUCGGUGUAGCGGUGAAAUGCGUAGAUAUCGAGAGGAACACCUGCGGCGAAGGCGGGUUGCUGGGCUGACACUGACGCUGAGGCGCGAAAGCUAGGGAGCGAACGGG